rnacentral:rRNA from 1 species
AUUGAACGCUGGCGGCAGGCCUAACACAUGCAAGUCGAGCGGAUGAAGGGAGCUUGCUCCUGGAUUCAGCGGCGGACGGGUGAGUAAUGCCUAGGAAUCUGCCUGGUAGUGGGGGAUAACGUCCGGAAGCGGGCGCUAAUACCGCAUACGUCCUGAGGGAGAAAGUGGGGGAUCUUCGGCCCUCACGCUAUCAGAUGAGCCUAGGUCGGAUUAGCUAGUUGGUGGGGUAAAGGCCUACCAAGGCGACGAUCCGUAACUGGUCUGAGAGGAUGAUCAGUCACACUGGAACUGAGACACGGUCCAGACUCCUACGGGAGGCAGCAGUGGGGAAUAUUGGACAAUGGGCGAAAGCCUGAUCCAGCCAUGCCGCGUGUGUGAAGAAGGUCUUCGGAUUGUAAAGCACUUUAAGUUGGGAGGAAGGGCAGUAAGUUAAUACCUUGCUGUUUUGACGUUACCAACAGAAUAAGCACCGGCUAACUUCGUG